rnacentral:rRNA from 1 species
CACGUAGGGCGCGAGCGUUGUCCGGAAUUAUUGGGCGUAAAGAGCUCGUAGGCGGCCUGUGGCGUCCGCUGUGAAAGCCCGGGGCUUAACCCCGGGUCGGCAGUGGAUACGGGCAGGCUAGAGGUAGGUAGGGGAGAAUGGAAUUCCCGGUGUAGCGGUGAAAUGCGCAGAUAUCGGGAAGAACACCCGUGGCGAAGGCGGCUCUCUGGGACGGUACUGACGCUGAGACGCGAAAGCGUGGGGAGCGAACAGG